rnacentral:rRNA from 1 species
GACGAACCGUACGAACGUUAUUCGGAAUCACUGGGCUUAAAGGGUGCGUAGGCUGUGCGGAAAGUUGGGUGUGAAAUCCCUCGGCUCAACCGAGGAACCGCGCCCAAAACUACCGUGCUGGAGGAAGACAGAGGUGAGCGGAACUUAGGGUGGAGCGGUGAAAUGCGUUGAUAUCCUAAGGAACACCGGUGGCGAAAGCGGCUCACUGGGUCUUUUCUGACGCUGAUGCACGAAAGCUAGGGUAGCGAACGGG